rnacentral:lncRNA from 1 species
GGAGGGGGGUUUGAAGAGGUUUGUGACAGCAGCUGAAUUAAAUUGAAACGCAUAUGCAAACAGAAACAUUAUAACUAACAAAUAUUUAAACAUGAUUAAAAUAAAAUAAAAAUAAAAAUAAAAAUAAAAAUAAAAAUAAAAUAAAAUAAAAAAAAUAAAAAAAAUGAAACACUUAAGAUAAACAUAGAUAUGCACAUACGGGAAUGAAGCUUAAAAACAACAUUAGCAAAAACAAAACUUCAAUUACUUGAACCAAUAAAACCAAUAAAAACUAGACAUGAUGCAGCGGGAAUUAAAAUUUGUUAAACUUAAACUAAGAAAUGGAAGGGGACAUUGCAGUAGCUAGCAAUGCUAAUCACCACGACAACAAAACGUGUGCACAUUCUUCCACCAAUGAAUCAGCACCCAAAAUGGGAAUUACGUGUGUCACCUCCAACUUAAAUGAAAUGAAAAUAAGAAAGGCAUGUGCUGCAGCAAGUAAAUCACCUUCAAUUCCAAAUUGAAAUAUGCUUCCGUGAGAGACCACGUGUGUGCCUCCGUUCCAGCAAACACACCGAUUCCACCAUUCUAAAUAAAAUAAAAUGAGAUGUGUUCAUCCCUUCUAAUAAUAAAGCACAAUGCUUCCAGCAAAAGGAAAUUAAUCAAGCUUCUCCAAAGAAAAGAAACGAAAAUGUAUGCUUCUAUCAUUCAUCCAAAAUCAAAAAAUGUGAACAUUCUUCAAGGUUCUCUAAAAAAAACGCUACAGCACUGCCUAUAUGAAAACCACGUUCUGAAAAAAAACUCCCCCUCAGCAUGACGGCUGCCAGCUUUUUUUUUAAAUGAAGCAAUCCCAAGACUCUCCGUUACCCUACUGUUGAGAAUGUUUUCUCCUUUGGCAGUUGGACCACGUGUUCCAAUUUGAAUGCAACCCUUGUGUCCAAAUGAAGGCNUGCUUUCUCCAAUUUUCAAUUACCACCUGCACCUCCCUUGCGCUGCUGGGCCGUUUUUGAUGUGCAGCUGCCUAAGAAACACAUACAGCCAUAUGCAACUAGGCCNCGCUGUUGGCCUUUUUAAAUGUCCAAACGUGUGGUGCUUUUAUUUUUAAAACCGUAACAGCAGCCCAUUCUUCAAAAUGUGGAAAUUGAAGCAUAAGUGAAAUGUUA